UUCAACCAGGAAGUCCUACCUGAGUGGCACAGCUUUUAUUCUCAGUAUCAACAAAUACUUGGAAGGAUAUUUGGAUAUUUUAGAUGGAAGUUUGGUUUAUAGAUUAGCCAUUAACCUUAACCAGCGUCGGACUGGGCCUGCUCCACACAGCCGCCGCUCUGGACCUCCCCCCAUCCGAUCGCAUAAAGAAUUGAUGCAUGUAAAUUGAUGCAUGUAAACCAGAGCGCUCUAGGAGUGUGGUGGUGAAGUAAAGAAGAAAGCACCAAUACCAAAAGAAGACAGAGAGAAUACAAGAAAGACGAUUGGAGAGAUUUGGAGGUGAUGUGGAUAAGGGAAAGAGGAUGCAAAAUCAAGACAGAAAAGAAGCCCUCUAGGAGUGUGAAGAGGAGGCAAUUGGCUGAAGAAAAGUAGAAAGGACCAACAACAUUGAAGAGAAAAAACAAGAAAGAAGAUUGGAGAGAUAUGGAGGUGAUGUGGAUGAAGGCAGGGAAUAAGCCCUCUAGGAGUGUGAAGAGGAGACAAUUGGGUGAAGAAAAGAAGAAAGGACCAACAAAAAAAGAAGAUGGAGAGGAUGCAAGAAAGAGGAUUGGAGAGACAUGGAGGUGAUGUGGAUAAGAGAAAAAGGAUGCAAAAGCAAGGCAGAGAGAAAGAGAUUGGAAGCCAGAAAACAUCAUGCUGGACCAAGAGGGUCACGUAAAAAUAUGCAACUUUGUUCUGGCUGUUGAGAACAUGUUCGUUGACAGGACUAUCACUGACCAAGCAGGGACGCUACAUUACAUGGUACCAGAGAUCCUUCUGGUACAAGUUAAAAAAGAAUGGCCAAAGAACACAGAAACUACCUUGGUAAGUUAUAUAAAAUAUGAGGUGACUGGCUAGAUCCUAAAAAACACAUAUAAGGAUCCGAAGUCGCCCGAAGUUUCCUCGUGAGGUUUACAUAAGUAGGUAGUUAUAGAUGGGUAGGUAGGU